GGGGAACUGGUUUCAACUCGCUGCUCCAUUGAUGGGGAGUUUCCUGCUACCCGAAUCCUUUUCUGCAAGGAUGGGAUGGAGGAGUACAGCCUGAAAGCCAUACGGGGUCAACUGAGUUACUCCGUUCUCCUGAAGGUCUCCCAGGGGAACACGGGGAGGUACAUGUGUGGAUACCAGCACAGGGAUGGGAGCAACCGGAUGAGGAGCUCUGCCCUCAGUGCCCCCUGGGACCUGGCCAUCACAGGCACUGCCACCACUCCCAGCACCAGCCCCCAGGAAAAGCCAUCGCCCACAGGUGAGUCAUUCCUGGGCUCUAUGGGGAUGUGCUGCUCUCCGCUUGUGCCCAUCCUCACCAUGACAUUUCCUCUGCCCUAACACCCUCCAC
rnacentral:lncRNA from 1 species